AACUCGCCUACAUGAAGUUGGAAUCGCUAGUAAUCGCGAAUCAGAAUGUCGCGGUGAAUACGUUCCCGGGUCUUGUACACACCGCCCGUCACACCACGAGAGUUUACAACACCCGAAGUCAGUGGCCUAACCGCAAGGAGGGAGCUGCCUAAGGUGGGGUAGAUGAUCGGGGUGAAGUCGUAACAAGGUACC
rnacentral:rRNA from 1 species